rnacentral:tmRNA from 1 species
GGGGAUGUUUUGGUUUCGACAGAAGAAAACGGCAAGUAACGGCAGUGGUCUUGUAAACCAUAAGACUUCGAGGUUCAAAUAACCGGAAACAAAAACAAAACUGUAGUUCCUGCAGAUGUUAAAGCUAAAUUAAAUUCAUUUAACUUUGGUUUCAUGAAUUCUAACAAUUUAAGUCUUUUAUCUGCUUAAAGAUAUAUUCAAACUACCAUUAAUUAAAUAAUUGUUUGUUGUUAUUAAUUAAUGAAACCUUAAACAAACUAGAAAAACUGAUGUUAAUAAAGUUUUUCAAAAUUCCAAUUAACUAGUUAAUAUUGCUUUCGUGUAAUUAGACAAUAUUAAUAAAACAGAUAAUUAUACUAAACUGUAGAAGUUAUUUGUUAGUUCUCUUUUGGACACGGGUUCAAUUCCCGUCAUCUCCACCA